UACGUAGGGACCAAGCGUUGUUCGGAUUUACUGGGCGUAAAGGGCGCGUAGGCGGCGUGUUAAGUCAGUUGUGAAAUCUAUGAGCUUAACUCAUAACGGUCAACUGAUACUGAUGUGCUAGAGUGCAGAAGGGGCAAUCGGAAUUCUUGGUGUAGCGGUGAAAUGCGUAGAUAUCAAGAGGAACACCUGAGGUGAAGACGGGUUGCUGGGCUGACACUGACGCUGAGGCGCGAAAGCUAGGGUAGCAAACGGGAUUAGAAACCCCCGUAGUCC
rnacentral:rRNA from 1 species